GAUGAACGCUAGCGGGAGGCCUAACACAUGCAAGCCGAGCGGUAUUGUUUCUUCGGAAAUGAGAGAGCGGCGUACGGGUGCGUAACACGUGUGCAACCUGCCUUUAUCUGGGGGAUAGCCUUUCGAAAGGAAGAUUAAUACUCCAUAAUAUAUUGAACGGCAUCGUUUAAUAUUGAAAGCUCCGGCGGAUAGAGAUGGGCACGCGCACGAUUAGCUAGUUGGUGAGGUAACGGCACACCAAGGCGAUGAUCUUUAGGGGGCCUGAGAGGGUGAUCCCCCACACUGGUACUGGGACACGGACCAGACUCCUACGGGAGGCAGCAGUGAGGAAUGUUGGUCAAUGGGUGCAAGCCUGAACCAGCCAUCCCGCGUGAAGGACGACUGCCCUAUGGGUUGUAAACUUCUUUUGUAUAGGGAUAAACCUACCCUCGUGAGGGUAGCUGAAGGUACUAUACGAAUAAGCACCGGCUAACUCCGUGCCAGCCGCCGCGGUAA
rnacentral:rRNA from 1 species